UACAGAGGGUGCGAGCGUUAAUCGGAAUUACUGGGCGUAAAGCGUGCGUAGACGGUUAUUUAAGUCGGGUGUGAAAGCCCCGGGCUCAACCUGGGAAUUGCAUUUGAGACUGCGUAGCUAGGGUGCGGAAGAGGGAAGCGGAAUUUCCGGUGUAGCGGUGAAAUGCGUAGAUAUCGGAAGGAACACCAGUGGCGAAAGCGGCUUCCUGGUCCAGCACCGACGUCAGGCACGAAAGCGUGGGGAGCAAACAGG
rnacentral:rRNA from 1 species